rnacentral:rRNA from 1 species
CCUACGGGGGGCAGCAGUGAGGAAUAUUGGUCAAUGGCCGGGAGGCUGAACCAGCCAAGUCGCGUGAGGGAAGACGGCCCUACGGGUUGUAAACCUCUUUUGUCAGGGAGCAAGGUGCAGGUCGGGACCUGCUGUGAGAGUACCUGAAGAAAAAGCAUCGGCUAACUCCGUGCCAGCAGCCGCGGUAAUACGGAGGAUGCGAGCGUUAUCCGGAUUUAUUGGGUUUAAAGGGUGCGCAGGCGGAGGCACAAGUCAGCGGUAAAAUCGCGGGACUCAACCCCGCUCCGCCGUUGACACUGUGUGCCUUGAGUGCGCGAAGGGUAGGCGGAAUGCGUGGUGUAGCGGUGAAAUGCAUAGAUAUCACGCAGAACUCCGAUGGCGAAGGCAGCCUACCGGCGCGCAACUGACGCUGAUGCACGAAAGCGUGGGUAUCGAACAGGAUUAGAUACCCUGGUAGUC